ACCAGACUCCUACGGGAGGCAGCAGUGGGGAAUAUUGCACAAUGGGGGAAACCCUGAUGCAGCGACGCCGCGUGAGCGAGGAAGUAUUUCGGUAUGUAAAGCUCUGUCAGCAGGGAAGAAGAAUGACGGUACCUGAAGAAGAAGCACCGGCUAAAUACGUGCCAGCAGCCGCGGUAAUACGUAUGGUGCAAGCGUUAUCCGGAUUUACUGGGUGUAAAGGGAGCGCAGGCGGUUCUGCAAGUCUGAUGUGAAAGCCCGGGGCUCAACCGCGGGACUGCAUUGGAAACUGCGGGACUGGAGUGUCGGAGGGGUAAGCGGAAUUCCUGGUGUAGCGGUGAAAUGCGUGGAUAUCAGGAGGAACACCGGUGGCGAAGGCGGCUUACUGGACGAUGACUGACGCUGAGGCUCGAAAGCGUGGGGAGCAAACAGGAUUAGAUACCCUAGUAAG
rnacentral:rRNA from 1 species